GUGUCAGCCGCCGCGGUAAUACAGAGGGUGCAAGCGUUAAUCGGAAUUACUGGGCGUAAAGCGUGCGUAGACGGUUACAUAAGUCGGGUGUGAAAGCCCCGGGCUCAACCUGGGAAUUGCAUUCGAGACUGCGUAGCUAGGGUGCGGAAGAGGGAAGCGGAAUUUCCGGUGUAGCGGUGAAAUGCGUAGAUAUCGGAAGGAACACCAGUGGCGAAAGCGGCUUCCUGGUCCAGCACCGACGUUCAGGCACGAAAGCGUGGGGAGCAAACAGGAUUAGAAACCCGCGUAGUCC
rnacentral:rRNA from 1 species